AUGACGAUCAAGAUCUGCGCCACAGGAGCCAUGCACACUAUUAAAUUGCCUUAAAAACGAUAUGUAUAAUAUUAGCUGUUGGGGGAGGUAUGAUAUUGUUCUUUAACAAACUGGUCGUGUCACAUUUACGGAAUGUUUGGAGAAAUCCGGCCUCUGACUUCAGAAAUAAAUCUAUUGUGUAGCAGUUCGGUGAUGGCUGUGUACAUGCACAAGUAAAUCCAAAAUGGGCAUCGAUCCAAAUACUAUCUAGUUCGGCUCGAAGUACAGUAUAUCUUUAGGGAAAGAAGAUCAGUUCCAACAAUAAUCUUAUAUAAUAUAGUAUCUAUAUUACUCCCUCC
rnacentral:lncRNA from 1 species